AACGAACGCUGGCGGCAUGCCUAACACAUGCAAGUCGAACGAGACCUUCGGGUCUAGUGGCGCACGGGUGCGUAACGCGUGGGAACCUGCCCUUAGGUUCGGAAUAACUCCCCGAAAGGGGUGCUAAUACCGGAUAAUGUCUUCGGACCAAAGAUUUAUCGCCUUUGGAUGGGCCCGCGUUGGAUUAGCUAGUUGGUAGGGUAAAAGCCUACCAAGGCGACGAUCCAUAGCUGGUCUGAGAGGAUGAUCAGCCACACUGGGACUGAGACACGGCCCAGACUCCUACGGGAGGCAGCAGUGGGGAAUAUUGGAGAAUGGGCGAAAGCCUGAUCCAGCAAUGCCGCGGGAGUGAUGAAGGCCUUAGGGUUGUAAAGCUCUUUUACCCGGGAUGAUAAUGACAGUACCGGGAGAAUAAGCUCCGGCUAACUCCGUG
rnacentral:rRNA from 1 species